rnacentral:rRNA from 1 species
AUUGAACGCUGGCGGCAGGCCUAACACAUGCAAGUCGAGCGGAUGAGUGGAGCUUGCUCCAUGAUUCAGCGGCGGACGGGUGAGUAAUGCCUAGGAAUCUGCCUGGUAGUGGGGGACAACGUUUCGAAAGGAACGCUAAUACCGCAUACGUCCUACGGGAGAAAGUGGGGGAUCUUCGGACCUCACGCUAUCAGAUGAGCCUAGGUCGGAUUAGCUAGUUGGUGAGGUAAAGGCUCACCAAGGCGACGAUCCGUAACUGGUCUGAGAGGAUGAUCAGUCACACUGGAACUGAGACACGGUCCAGACUCCUACGGGAGGCAGCAGUGGGGAAUAUUGGACAAUGGGCGAAAGCCUGAUCCAGCCAUGCCGCGUGUGUGAAGAAGGCCUUCGGAUUGUAAAGCACUUUAAGUUGGGAGGAGGGCAGUAAGUUAAUACCUUGCUGUUUUGACGUUACCAACAGAAUAAGCACCGGCUAACUUCGUGCCAACAGCCGCAGUAAAAC